GACCAGCCAGCCCCACGUCCAGGACCUUGGCUGCAUCUGCCACCUGGUACAGCUGGCCACUGGCUGUGGCAUCAGAGCAGCCCAGGUACCAGUGGAAGACAUCCUGGUGGGGAUACACACCCACUUUGAUAAAAGUGCAAAAAGAUUCAGACCACCUGAAGCUCCUCAGGUACUGCAGCACCAGAUGGCUGAGUCUGUUAACCUGCAUCCAGAGGGUGCCGAACCAGUGGGAUGCACUACAGGCCUACUUUAACAGUUAUUAAGAGGUGGAGAGGAGUGUUAAAGUGCGUGAUCUGGCAAGCCAUCUGCGUGAUCCAAUCGUGAAGACCUACUUCCUGUUCUGAAUUUAACAUUGCCUUCCAGUCAGAGGGAGUACAAAUUCAGACUUGAAGAGGAGAUGUGCAGGCUGAUGAUGAGGAUCCUGGGCUACCUCAUUCCAGCCAGGGCAAUCGUGGGUGUACCUCUCAGGGAGGUGGAGU